rnacentral:rRNA from 1 species
GACGAACGCUGGCGGCGUGCUUAACACAUGCAAGUCGAACGAAGUGGCGAACGGGUGAGUAACGCGUAAUCAACCUGCCCUUCAGAGGGGGACAACAGUUGGAAACGACUGCUAAUACCGCAUACUGAAGGAGGGGAUUGCGUCUGAUUAGCUAGUUGGAGGGGUAACGGCCCACCAAGGCGAUGAUCAGUAGCCGGCCUGGGGGGGUGAUCGGCCACAAGGGGACAGCGACCCGGCCCUUACUCCUACGGGGGGCAGCAAUGGGGAAUAUUGGACGAUGGACCAAAGUCUGAUCCAGCACUUCUGUGUGCACGAUGAAGUGUUUCGGAAUGUAAAGUGCUUUAAGUUGGGAAGCGGUACCAACAGAAGAAGUGACGGCUAAAUACGUGCCAGCCGCCGCGGUAAUAC